AAUAGAUACCCGGGUAGUCCACGCCGUAAACGAUGAGUGCUAAGUGUUAGAGGGUUUCCGCCCUUUAGUGCUAUAGCUAACGCAUUAAGCACUCCGCCUGGGGAGUACGGUCGCAAGACUGAAACUCAAAGGAAUUGACGGGGGCCCGCACAAGCGGUGGAGCAUGUGGUUUAAUUCGAAGCAACGCGAAGAACCUUACCAGGUCUUGACAUCCCACUGACCGGUAUAGAGAUAUACCUUUCCCUUCGGGGACAGUGGUGACAGGUGGUGCAUGGUUGUCGUCAGCUCGUGUCGUGAGAUGUUGGGUUAAGUCCCGCAACGAGCGCAACCCUUGAUCUUAGUUGCCAGCAUUUAGUUGGGCACUCUAAGGUGACUGCCGGUGACAAACCGGAGGAAGGUGGGGAUGACGUCAAAUCAUCAUGCCCCUUAUGACCUGGGCUACACACGUGCUACAAUGGAUGGUACAAAGGGCUGCAAGACUGCGAAGUCAAGCCAAUCCCAUAAAACCAUUCUCAGUUCGGAUUGCAGGCUG
rnacentral:rRNA from 1 species